rnacentral:rRNA from 1 species
GGUUGCGAUCAUACCAGCACUAAUGCACCGGAUCCCAUCAGAACUCGCAGUUAACCGUGCUUGGGCGAGAGUAGUACUAGGAUGGGUGACCCCCUGGGAAGUCUCGUGUUGCAACCC